rnacentral:lncRNA from 1 species
GUCAAUCAGUGGGGUCAGUCAGUGGGGUCAGUGGGAUCUAUGGGGUCAGUGGGGUGUAUGGGGUCAGUCAGUGGGGUCAGUGGGAUCUGUGGGGUCAGUGGGGCAAUCAGUGGGGUCAGUGGGAUCUAUGGGUGGGGUGUAUGGGGUCAGUGGGGUCGAUGGGGUCAGUCAAUGGGGUCAGUGGGGUGUAUGGGGUCAGUCAGUGGGGUCAGUGGGAUCUAUGGGGUCAGUGGGUUUUAUGGGUGGGAUCUAUGGGGUCAGUGGGAUCUAUGGGGUCAGUCAAUGGGGUCAGUGGGGUGUAUGGGGUCAAUCAGUGGGGUCAGUGGGAUCUAUGGGGUCAGUGGGGCAAUCAGUGGGGUCAGUGGGGUGUAUGGGGUCAGUCAGUGGGGUCAGUGGGGCAAUCAGUGGGGUGUAUGGGGUCAGUGGGGUCUAUGGGGCCAAUCAAUGGGGUCAGUGGGUUUUAUGGGGUCAAUCAGUGGGGUCAGUGGGAUCUAUGGGGUCAGUCAGUGGGGUCAGUGGGAUCUAUGGGGUGAGUGGGUGGGGUCAGUGGGGUGUACGGGGUCAAUCAAUGGGGUCAGUCAGUGCGGUCAGUGUGAUCUAUGGGGU